rnacentral:tRNA from 1 species
GGGUUGUUAGCUCAGUUGGUAGAGCAGCGGACUCUUAAUCCGUAGGUCGAGUGUUCGAGCCACUCGCAACCCACCA